UAAUGAAUGUAGCAUGGUACUGUGCACGAAAAUUAAUCUAUGGAUCGACAUGUCUGCCAUCUCUGAGAUCAUUUGAUGAUGAGACGGCCUGGUUUAGAUCCACAUUG
rfam:Eutrema salsugineum unplaced genomic scaffold scaffold_2, whole genome shotgun sequence.